CAGUCGCCGCGGUAAUACGAAGGGGGCUAGCGUUGUUCGGAAUUACUGGGCGUAAAGCGCACGUAGGCGGAUACUUAAGUCAGGGGUGAAAUCCCGGGGCUCAACCCCGGAACUGCCUUUGAUACUGGGUAUCUCGAGUCCGGAAGAGGUGAGUGGAAUUCCGAGUGUAGAGGUGAAAUUCGUAGAUAUUCGGAGGAACACCAGUGGCGAAGGCGGCUCACUGGUCCGGUACUGACGCUGAGGUGCGAAAGCGUGGGGAGCAAACAGGAUUAGAUACCCCCGUAGUCCCUGUCUCUUAUAC
rnacentral:rRNA from 1 species